GACUUAACUUUAACGUUUGUUUAAGACAAUAACUAUCCUAUUUGUUUUCUACGGUGUCCAAUGUAAACUUUGCUAUCUUUCUUUUGUAAUGUGCUAUUUCUUUUAUGACUUGUUUUGAUGUGUGCCGUACAUCUAUGAGAAAAAAAAAGUAGCUUAGCGUCGGCCUGUUCGACUCUAUUAUAUGUGUUGACUUUUCAAAAAUUAACUUUAGAGUUAGAUGGGCCGAGGCUAAAUUAUUUUUUUUGACUUUCUAAAUAUUGACUUUAGAGUCGGAUUGACCGAGACUAGCUUAUUUUGUUGAAUUUCUAGAUGUUGACUUAUGUAACGCCACAUGUAAUUAGAGUCAGGUUUAAACUCGCCACAACUGACCCUAAAAGCUAUUUUUCUAGUAGUGUGUUUUGACGGAAUUUGGCCUGAGCAUUUAUUCAUAUUUUCUCAAAUAUCAUUGUCCACUGUCUAAUAGUUGAAACAAAUAUAAAGUAUCGCGUCUAGGAUAGUAUGAUACUUUUUUUUUCACCAUCAGUUUAAUCUAGUUCGAGGUCAGUUCUGCCACCAAAUAGUUUCAGUCCCCUCCUGAUUGUAGUUGCGGAGAUCGAACUAUAGUUCUCUCUAUCAAAUUUAGCGUCUAACGAUUGAUAUAUCGAUAGUUCUCUCUAUUUUAUUUUUUCUAAUAAAGUAUCGCUCAUGAUUUCUUUCCUUAAAUAACAGUGGUUUCACGUUCACCUAAACAAAAAAGGGAAAAUAAUAUAUGCACAUACAAUGUAAACUAAUUUUACACUGUCAUUCAAUACCAACAGUGUAUCCCGCCAAAUCGUCCCACUACACCCCACUUCUAUUAUAUGACAUGAAGAAAUACUUGAUUCUCAUUGGAUGUCAGUGUAGAAUUUAUUUACACUGGCAUAACAUAUCAAUUAAACUCGACAAAAAAAAAACUUGAUAAAUUCGAAGAAAACAUCAUAAAUUUUUAAAAACCUUCAUAAAUUUAUAAUCACCACCAUCAUCUUUCUUCUGUCUGUUUAAAAAUAUCUUGAAAAACUAAAGCUUUACCACACACAUUUGCGAAANNN
rnacentral:lncRNA from 1 species